rnacentral:rRNA from 1 species
UACUCCUACGGGAGGCAGCAGUAGGGAAUCUUCCACAAUGGACGAAAGUCUGAUGGAGCAACGCCGCGUGAGUGAAGAAGGAUUUCGGUUCGUAAAACUCUGUUGUAAGGGAAGAACAAGUACAGUAGUAACUGGUUGUACCUUGACGGUACCUUAUUAGAAAGCCACGGCUAACUACGUGCCAGCAGCCGCGGUAAUA